GUUUCUCACUGCUCACGGCAAAAGGACAAAGAGAUCGAGCGUGUGGAAUGUGGAUAUAAAAACGAUCAUCGACGACGACAACAACAACAAAAUAUACUAAAAAAAAAAACUCUUAUUUUGUGUAGUUUAAAAUAAAAAGAAAAGAAGCACGAAAAAAAUGAAAAAUAAAACCCAAAAAUAUAUAGAUAAGAAGACGUGGAACUAUAUAAAUAUGGACCACCAUCACGCCUUUGCAUCACAUUCAUACAACUCAGUUUUCAUAAGCAAAAAGGCAAUGGAAGAGUCACGAUCCUACAGAAAGGAGAGGAAGCAGACAAAGAAGAAAACGGGUCGUGGGUCAGGAUCCA